GACGAACGCUGGCGGCGUGCUUAACACAUGCAAGUCGAACGGAAAGGCCCUGCUUUUGUGGGGUGCUCGAGUGGCGAACGGGUGAGUAACACGUGAGUAACCUGCCCUUGACUUUCGGAUAACUUCACGAAACUGGGGCUAAUACCGGAUAGGAUCUCCUGCUGCAUGGUGGGGGGUGGAAAGUUUCGGCUGUUGGGGAUGGAUGCGCGGCUUACGGGCUUGUUGGUGGGGGAGUGGUUGACCAAGGCUUUGACGGGUAGCCGGCCUGUGAGGGGGGCCGGCGACAUUGGGACUGAGGUACGGCGCAGUCGCCUACGUGAGGCAACAGGGGGAAAUAUUACCCAGUGGGCGGGCGCGUGAUACGAAGACGCCGCGUGCGGAAUGACGGCCUUCGGGUUAAGAACCGCUUUCGCCUAAGACGAAGCGUGAGUGACGGUAAUGAAUAAAGAAGCACCGGCUAACUACGUG
rnacentral:rRNA from 1 species